rnacentral:rRNA from 1 species
GAUGAACGCGGGCGGCGUGCCUAAUACAUGCAAGUAGAACGCUGAAGCUCGGUGCUUGCACCGAGCGGGUGAGUUGCGAACGGGUGAGUAACGCGUAGGUAACCUGCCUCUUAGCGGGGGAUAACUAUUGGAAACGAUAGCUAAUACCGCAUAAAAGUCGAUAUCGCAUGAUGUUGAUUUGAAAGGUGCAAUUGCAUCACUAAGAGAUGGACCUGCGUUGUAUUAGCUAGUUGGUGAGGUAACGGCUCACCAAGGCAACGAUACAUAGCCGACCUGAGAGGGUGAUCGGCCACACUGGGACUGAGACACGGCCCAGACUCCUACGGGAGGCAGCAGUAGGGAAUCUUCGGCAAUGGGGGCAACCCUGACCGAGCAACGCCGCGUGAGUGAAGAAGGUUUUCGGAUCGUAAAGCUCUGUUGUAAGAGAAGAACGAGUGUGAGAGUGGAAAGUUCACACUGUGACGGUAACUUACCAGAAAGGGACGGCUAACUACGUGCCAGCAGCCGCGGUAAUACGUAGGUCCCGAGCGUUAUCCGGAUUUAUUGGGCGUAAAGCGAGCGCAGGCGGUUAGAUAAGUCUGAAGUUAAAGGCUGUGGCUUAACCAUAGUACGCUUUGGAAACUGUUUAACUUGAGUGCAGAAGGGGAGAGUGGAAUUCCAUGUGUAGCGGUGAAAUGCGUAGAUAUAUGGAGGAACACCGGUGGCGAAAGCGGCUCUCUGGUCUGUAACUGACGCUGAGGCUCGAAAGCGUGGGGAGCAAACAGG